AACCGCAGACCCGACCAGUCUGGGGUCGCGGCACAGAGAGCUGGGUAGGUGGGAGUGGGGAUCACCCCACCUCGGGACUGCGAAUCUGGGUCUGGAAGUGCGAGAACAUCCAGCUGGAAAGGGAUCUGUGCCAUCUUCGCUAGCUUCUAUUUUACACAUGGGGAAACUGAGGCUUAGGGAAGGAUGGAGAUGCCCAGCUUGAGGGUGGAGGACACCAUGGCGCCCGUCUCUCCUGGAGGGGGCAGCGAAAGAUGGCCCGAUCGGUUUCAGAGCAGCGUUCUCCACUCACAAGAAAACGGCCAUCCCAGGGGAUGCGAGGGAAGGGGGUGGAGGAGGGUGCAAGGGCGUGCAUGCAGGGGUGAUCGUGACUGGAAGAGGAGAGAGAAAUUGCAAGGCAAGUGGAACAACUGCAAGGCAAGUGGGCUGGGGUGUGUGUGCAAACCACAGGCACGCAGGGGUGAGAGGGUGUGGCCACUGGGCACACGGGGAGUGGGUGGGCAGGGAGAGCGGGGACAGGAGGGCGUGCUCAGGAGGAGCGAGUGCACGGCGAGGGCACCUUUGCAGGCACUGAUCAUCUGAAGCACCAUCUCCGCGGCGCCCCGGGUGUGCAGCCGCGCCUGCUGGUACAGCAGCCUCUGCUUCUCCAUCUCUUUCUCCUGGGGCAGAGCCAGGCCCGCAGCGCCGAGUGAGUCCAGGCUCACCAGGCCAGCCUUUUCCCCUCACAGCCCAGUCCCUCACCCCUGCCCUCCCUGCUCCAGCCACAGCCACUGGCGCCUUCAACUGUCAGCUCCCUCUGUGCCCUGGGAUUGAAGUCCCGGAUUUGUUUCUUGCACCCAGCACAAGGCUGGGCAUGGAGCCAUCUUAACCUGGGCCCACGGACCUCCAAGGCGUCAGUGGAUAGAACCCAGGAGACAUCUCGAAAUACCGCUGACGUUCAUCACUACCCAUCAAUUACAGUAGCUACUGGACUCCCUGUUAGAUCUUGUUAUUUGAGAGAUUAAUAAAGAAUGCAGAUGGUAACUGUA